GAAGGGAGCUAGCGUUGUUCGGAAUUACUGGGCGUAAAGGGCGCGUAGGCGGCCGUAUAAGUCAGAUGUGAAAGCCCUGGGCUCAACCUAGGAAUUGCAUUUGAUACUGUACGGCUAGAGAUCGAAAGAGGAGAGUGGAAUUGCGAGUGUAGAGGUGAAAUUCGUAGAUAUUCGCAAGAACACCAGUGGCGAAGGCGGCUCUCUGGUUCGAUACUGACGCUAAGGCGCGAAAGCGUGGGGAGCAAACAGGAUUAGAUACCCUGGUAGUCCACGCUGUAAACGAUGAGUGCUAGAUGUUGGGGGAGCGAUCCUUCAGUGUCGCAGCUAACGCAUUAAGCACUCCGCCUGGGGAGUACGGUCGCAAGAUUA
rnacentral:rRNA from 1 species